rnacentral:lncRNA from 1 species
CUCAACGUGUCUCACAAUUACACCCUAAGUUCUCAUGACUUUUAGGGUGCGUUUGGUUCCCGCUAUCUUUUUACUAAGAUUCCUAGUAAUCCAAUAGGAAUAGAAAAAUAUGACGGUGUUUGGCUAAACGCACUAAAUAAUCUAGUUAGUAAUAUUAGAUUUAUUUGGGAAUGAGAUUCAUCUCAAAGUACUAAUCUCAUUCCUUUGAGGGAGGGUUGCUAUUCUCAUAUUAAUGAAUUGGAGUAAUCAUAAUAUGUCUAAUCUCUUUCUUUCUCCCUACCCGCCGGCUAGUUGGUAUUAUUUUUCUUUACACUCUAACCUCAUAUCUCUCUCUAAACUUAUUUUUUUCUCUCUAAACUUCAACUCUUUUUCUCUCUCUAAGCUAAGCUCUCUCCCUCUUUUUCUAAAAUCUCAACUCUCUCACUCCCUCUAAUCNAUCACCUUAAGGACAUUCGGACCCUUGAUUAAUCCUUCACGCACUCAAGCUCUCAGGUUUGGAGUUCGAAAGAGGGUUCGAACUCCCUCAACAAUACAACAAAUAUGUUUUAGACGAUACUUUUUAGACGAUGCUUUAUUGUAGUGUCUUUAAUAUUUGGCAUGUGUUGACACUUGAUUAUGUCUCGUCAAUAAAUAUAUUUUUAUCAAAUAUUGAUAAAAAUUCUCCAAUGCUAAAUUAAAGUAUCAAUAUAUUUAUCCCGACGUAUUUACUAAUUGACUCUUUGCUCGACAAUUUUACAACCGUCGGGAAUAUUCUUGUCAACACUUUAAAGCGUUGCUAGUUAUUAUUUAAAGUGUCUUUAUGUGCAAAAUUUGUUAUAGUGCAAGUAGCAUAUGA